UACGGGGGGGGCAAGCGUUGUUCGGAAUUACUGGGCGUAAAGGGCUGGUAGGCGGCCAACUAAGUCAGACGUGAAAUCCCCAGGCUCAACCUGGGAACUGCGUCUGAUACUGGAUGGCUUGAAUUCGGGAGAGGGAUGCAGAAUUCCAGGUGUAGCGGUGAAAUGCGUAGAUAUCUGGAGGAAUACCGGUGGCGAAGGCGGCAUCCUGGACCGACAUUGACGCUGAGGAGCGAAAGCUAGGGGAGCAAACGGG
rnacentral:rRNA from 1 species